rnacentral:lncRNA from 1 species
GCGUCCCACGAGGAAGCAUAUCGCGUCCCGAACUGUGUUACCUCACUUCUCUCUUCUGACGUUCAAGGGCUGGUUGCAGUGGCUUAGUUCAAGAAUUCGAGAAGAAGAGGUCCCUCGAUACUGUCUGGUCGGUGGUGGGCACGCCGACAUUAAGCAAGAUGGGCACUGGAGACUAGAAAUGCUGACAUGGACACUGGCUGUUGUAUGUUUUGAGUUUCGUGAAUAUAGUGUAGAGAAGAAUGAGUUAUUUAUAAACCAUUCAACUGAAGAACAAGCUGGACAUUGGGGACUGAUUCUAGUAAGAAUGAUAUUGAUGAAGGCAGUGGUGAAGACAGUGGGCAGGUAGUUUUAGCUAUGCCAGUGACGGAGGGUGACCUGCACACUGACCUGCACACUGACUGGAGUAUUGAGUUCAGCACUUCGAGGAGCUGUCGAUUAUGCACUCAAGCCUCCUCGACCUGCAAUAUGUAAAGCCUGAAGUACUUUGUCACCCGAAGGAGUAAGAAAAGGAAGAGGAAGAGGAGAAGAUGGAGGAGGAGGAGGAGGAGAAAGAGGAGGAGGAAUGGGAAGGACGAGGUGGUGGUGGUGGUGCCAGUGACGGUGGCGGUGGUGUAAAGACUAGCGUAUCGACUCCGCCAUCUACGUCAGUCGCCUCUUCCCACAUCGUCUGCCGCGGUGUUAGUAAGGCGUCAUGUGGACCUCUCACCUGUGGCAAAGGCCGGCCCAGGAUGAAGAAGAGGUGGGGAA